GCGAAUUCUUGUAUGCAGGACAUGGAGAAGAUAAUGGAGUGCAUGGAGUAGAUUCUCGCACAAGAAGGGGUUCUAUGGUUUGAUUUUUUUUAGGUUGCUUACGAGAAGAGUGAUAGAAAACUUGCGAUCAUCAUAGAGAUUCACGGCAAAAGUUGGAGGGACGGCUGCCCACGAGAUGAAGGUGGUAUGUUUUAGUUGCUUAAUCUCAUACUCGUAAUUAAAGCAUAUUUUAACAUGUAAUUAAUGGCAAAGAUUCAAUUGAUAGGAAUAUGUAAAAUACGAGGACCCAAUAAUUAAUACUAUACAGUAAUAAGAAACCUUAAUAUUAUUUGUGGUAAAUUUUGUCGUAAUUUUUGUCUAAAUGAAUACACAUCUCAUUGAUGUUAGUGUUAAGAUUCUGUUUCUAAAAUGAAUCCAAUAAUUAUUGAGAUUUGUCUCUUUAGAAUUAACUGAUUAAUAUUUUCAUUUGAUUAGAAUUAAUUGAUUAAUAUUUUCAUCUGACUAAUAUUUCCAUAAUAGUAGCUUAUUAGUAAUUAUAACAGGUCCAAUGAACUAAUUAUUCAGUGUGAGAAAUAAUAGAUCAAUUGAUUAUUUGUGAGCUACAAUAUUAUUAUUUUGGCGUUUUGAUUGCUAACUAUUUUGAAUUAUGCUCAUCUGUGAAUAUGUAGUUGUAGCAGUUUAUUGUUUUUACUUGAAUAAAAAAAGACUUGAUCAGAUUUCAACCAUGAACAAUAAUUCAAUUCAUGAAUUGAUUUCUCAUAUACACUUCAUUUUUUUUUUUAAUUUUAAAUCAUUCAUUAAUAAAUACUUUUUGAACUUUUAUUAUUUUAUUAUAAAGUAUGAUGUAUUUGAUUUAUACACUUCUAGAUUUGUUUAAAAUAUUCGUUAUACGUAGAAAAAGAUGUAGUUAAAGACGUAACUUUAUUUCUUAUACUUAGGUAUAAAAGGAAAAACAGACUCUUCCUUCUCACAAACUAGAACAACAUAUUAUAUUAUAUUAUAGUUUAUAGUAGUCGACCCUCGCAUCAUCAUGGAAUGCAUAUUAUUUUCAGGCACCAACAAAAACUAGCAAACUAAAGAAACAACAAGACAUAUAAAGUACUAGGGAGGAGUGAUUAGUUAGCUUCAUUUCUUGUGGUCCAUGUCCAUGUUCCUGUUGAUGUUGGUCGUGUUCCUUCCGCUGUCAGGACCAGCAUCUGCAUUUCCUUGGCGAUCAGGAGGUGCGCCAGUGGUGGAAUACGCAGUGCUGUAUUCAAAUCCAGAGGCUCCGUAGUUGGGGCCACUGUAGGGUCCUCCCGUAGGUGGGGCUCCAUAACCAGCAUUCCCUAUGUUCCCAUAAGCGUAGUUGGCCACUGGGUCUAUUGCCGUUCUGCUUCCGAACUCGUCUCUCCACCGAUCCCACUCGUCGUUGUUCUUGCAAAUAUCAGGGUUAUUGUGACGAACGUCAUAGUCUCUCUGAUCGGUACCGGAUUCCUCUCUGUUGGGUUGUUGAUGUGCCAUUUGGAAGACAACCAAUGCUGAUGAUCUGUGAGUUUGAGGUUGUCUUUCAUAUACUCAGAGGUUAGGCGGUGGUGAGUUAGGGCAAAUGACACCUUAGGUUAUCAGCAUCUGCCACGUUGCUUUUGACUCAUUUCUUCUCAACACGUAGGUUCUCACAAUUUUAACAUGGUUUAUAAUAAGAAGCUUUAGAACCUUCUCAUUACAUUCCAGACUUCAUAAAGUUUCAUUUUUUACAUGUAACCUUUUAGUUAUAUACAGUAAUAUUUGUU
rnacentral:lncRNA from 1 species